AGGAAGGGGAACGUAACCCGGACGAAAGUCGGACUAAUACCGCAUAAAACAGGGGCACCGCAUGGUGAUAUUUGUUAAAGAAAUUCGCUGAUAGAUGGGCAUGCGUUCCAUUAGGUAGUUGGUGAGGUAACGGCUCACCAAGCCGACGAUGGAUAGGGGAACUGAGAGGUUGGUCCCCCACACUGGUACUGAGACACGGACCAGACUCCUACGGGAGGCAGCAGUGAGGAAUAUUGGUCAAUGGGCGGGAGCCUGAACCAGCCAAGUCGCGUGAAGGAAAAGAAGGAUCUAUGGUUCGUAAACUUCUUUUGCAGGGGAAUAAAGUGCAGGACGUGUCCUGUUUUGUAUGUACCCUGAGAAUAAGGAUCGGCUAACUCCGUGCCAGCAGCAGC
rnacentral:rRNA from 1 species